UACAGGGGGUGCAAGCGUUACUCGGAAUUAUUGGGCGUAAAGCGCGUGUAGGUGGUUUUUUAAGUCUGGUGUGAAAGCCCUGGUCUCAAGCCAGGAAGUGCAUUGGAUACUGAAAGACUAGAGUGCAGGAGAGAGUGGCGGAAUUCCCGGUGUAGAGGUGAAAUUCGUAGAUAUCGGGAGGAACAACAGAGGCGAAGGCGGCCACUUGGACUGUUACUGACACUUAGACGCAAAAGCAUGGGGAGCAAACAGG
rnacentral:rRNA from 1 species